UCUGAUCAACGAAAUGGUUUCACUCGGACUAAUUGCAACAGAAAUUGUUUUGAUUUAGUUUGGUUGUAUGUUGAGAGAAGUCAUCCCACAAAAAAGUUGCAAUCUUUAACUCAAGGGGAAACUGAGAUAUUGACCUUUCAAAACAUCGAUUUUCAUCAAUUCCGGCAAUUGCAGAUAUAGCCCACCAUACAAAGAAAAUAGUGAAAACUCUUCACAACGGAGGAAGAAAAGCGUCUUUGUUUAUCGGCGGCAACCAUUUGUAAAUUUUAAACUCGUGUAAACAUCAUCUUUUUGGACUCUUUUUAAGCUUCUUUGACGAGGAAAAGCGCAGAUCAUGAUGGUCAUCAAGUGUAAUUACAGAUGGAACAGAUUAAGAUAAUUUGGGAAUAUGCAGAGAGACAGAAAUAAAUGUCAUCAAAGCAAUGUUGAUGCGGCUGUACAUGGCCUGACGAAUUCGUAAGGUUAACCAAACA